CGGCUAACUUCGUGCCAGCAGCCGCGGUAAUACGAAGGGACCUAGCGUAGUUCGGAAUUACUGGGCUUAAAGAGUUCGUAGGUGGUUGAAAAAGUUGGUGGUGAAAUCCCAGAGCUUAACUCUGGAACUGCCAUCAAAACUUUUCAGCUAGAGUUUGAUAGAGGAAAGCAGAAUUUCUAGUGUAGAGGUGAAAUUCGUAGAUAUUAGAAAGAAUACCAAUUGCGAAGGCAGCUUUCUGGAUCAAUACUGACACUGAGGAACGAAAGCAUGGGUAGCGAAGAGGAUUAGAUACCCUCGUAGUCCAUGCCGUAAACGAUGUGUGUUAGACGUUGGAAAUUUAUUUUCAGUGUCGCAGCGAAAGCGAUAAACACACCGCCUGGGGAGUACGACCGCAAGGUUAAAACUCAAAUGAAUUGACGGGGACCCGCACAAGUAGUGGAGCAUGUGGUUUAAUUCGAAGAUACGCGCAGAACCUUACCAACACUUGACAUGUUCGUCGCGACUCUAAGAGAUUAGAGUUUUCGGUUCGGCCGGACGAAACACAGGUGCUGCAUGGCUGUCGUCAGCUCGUGUCGUGAGAUGUUGGGUUAAGUCCCGCAACGAGCGCAACCCUCACUUUUAGUUGCCAUCAUUUAGUUGGGCACUCUGAAAGAACUGCCAGUGAUAAGCUGGAGGAAGGUGGGGAUGACGUCAAGUCCUCAUGGCCCUUACGUGUUGGGCUACACACGUGCUACAAUGGUAUCUACAACAGGAAGCAAAACGGCGACGUUAAGCAAAUCCUUAAAAGAUACCUCAGUUCGGAUUGCACUCUGCAACUCGAGUGCAUGAAGCUGGAAUUACUAGUAAUCGUGGAUCAGCGUGCCACGGUGAAU
rnacentral:rRNA from 1 species